UACGUAGGGUGCGAGCGUUGUCCGGAAUUAUUGGGUGUAAAGAGCUUGUAGGCGGUUUGUCGCGUCUGCUGUGAAAAUCCGGGGCUCAACCCCGGACUUGCAGUGGGUACGGGCAGACUAGAGUGUGGUAGGGGAGACUGGAAUUCCUGGUGUAGCGGUGAAAUGCGCAGAUAUCAGGAGGAACACCUAUUGCGAAGGCAGCUCGCUGGGACGUUACUGACGCUGAGACGCGAAAGCGUGGGGAGCAAACAGG
rnacentral:rRNA from 1 species